rnacentral:rRNA from 1 species
GACGAACGCUGGCGGCGUGCUUAACACAUGCAAGUCGAACGAGACGAUUGAAAGCUUGCUUUCGAAAGUCGAGUGGCAAACGGGUGAGUAACGCGUAGACAACCUGCCUUUGAGAUGGGGACAACAGUUCGAAAGGACUGCUAAUACCGAAUGUUGUAUAUUUUCCACAUGGAAGAUAUAUUAAAGGUGGCCUCUAUUUAUAAGCUAUCGCUCAAAGAUGGGUCUGCGUCUGAUUAGCUGGUUGGUGGGGUAACGGCCUACCAAGGCGACGAUCAGUAGCCGGUCUGAGAGGAUGAACGGCCACAUUGGACUGAGACACGGCCCAGACUCAUACGGGAGGCAGCAGUGGGGAAUCUUCCACAAUGGACGAAAGUCUGAUGGAGCAACGCCGCGUGAGUGAAGAAGGGUUUCGGCUCGUAAAGCUCUGUUGUCGGGGACGAAUGUGCAGUAUUUGAAUAAAGUACUGUAAUGACGGUACCUGACGAGGAAGCCACGGCUAACUACGUGCCAGCAGCCGCCGCGG